GACGAACGCUGGCGGCGUGCUUAACACAUGCAAGUCGAACGGAAAGGCCCUGCUUUUGUGGGGUGCUCGAGUGGCGAACGGGUGAGUCACACGUGCGUAACCUGCCUUUGACUUUGGGAUAACUUCAGGAAACUGGGGCUAAUACCGGAUAGGAGCUCCUGCUGCAUGGUGGGGGUUGGAAAGUUUCGGCGGUUGGGGAUGGACUCGCGGCUUAUCAGCUUGUUGGUGGGGUAGUGGCUUACCAAGGCUUUGACGGGUAGCCGGCCUGAGAGGGUGACCGGCCACAUUGGGACUGAGAUACGGCCCAGACUCCUACGGGAGGCAGCAGUGGGGAAUAUUGCACAAUGGGCGGAAGCCUGAUGCAGCAACGCCGCGUGCGGGAUGACGGCCUUCGGGUUGUAAACCGCUUUCGCCUGUGACGAAGCGUGAGUGACGGUAAUGGGUAAAGAAGCACCGGCUAACUACGUG
rnacentral:rRNA from 1 species